rnacentral:lncRNA from 13 species
AUGCACCACACACUCCACAGUGCACACACCACACAGACACACACCACGUACCACACAGACUCUAAACACACACACCACAGUGUACACACCUCAACAGACACACCCCAAUCACCACACACAUUCUCAAUAGUGUGCAAACCUUACACAGACACACCACACAACACAAUUCACACAUUCCACAAUGAACACAACUCAGGCACCACACACCACACAUUCUACAAAGUGCACACACCUUUCACAGACACAUUCCACUCACCAGACUCCACAAACACACUCCACAGUGCACACACCACUCAGACACACCACAGCACACACACCUCACAUAGAAACCAUGCACCACCCACACUUCACAACCACAACCCACAAUACACCCCUCACACAGACACACUCCACAGUGCACACUUCUCAGACAUGCCAAGCACCACACAUACUUCCCACAAACACUCCACAGUGCACACACCCCACACACAUCACUCACCAAAAACAUACUUUACAGUGCACACACCUCACAGAAACGCACCACUCACCACACACCAAAUUUCACACCCCUCACAAAGACAACACUCACAUUCCACAGUUCACACACCUCACACUGACACACACAUGUUACACACACAUUUCACAGUGCAUGCAUCUCACACAAACACAUGCCAUGCACCACGCAGUCCACAGUACACAUACACACCACACAACACACUCUACAGUGCACACAACUUACACAGAAACACACUUUCCACCACACACUUCACACUGUCUACAAUACACAGUGCUCACACACACCACUACCACACAUGCACACCAGAGGGCACACACCUACCACAGACAAAUACAACUCACUGCACACCCACUCCACAGUGCACAUCUCUCACGCAGACACAACUCACUACACAACCCACAGUGCACACAUCUCUCACAGCCACACACCACUCACAACAUGCAAACUGCAUAGUGUGCACACUUCAGACAUGGGCAACUCAACACACAAUCCCCAUGCACAAACCUCACACAAACACAUAUGAUUCGUGA